rnacentral:rRNA from 1 species
GACGAACGCUGGCGGCGUGCUUAACACAUGCAAGUCGAACGGAAAGGCCCUGCUUUUGUGGGGUGCUCGAGUGGCGAACGGGUGAGUAACACGUGAGUAACCUGCCCUUGACUUUGGGAUAACUUCAGGAAACUGGGGCUAAUACCGGAUAGGAGCUCCUGCUGCAUGGUGGGGGUUGGAAAGUUUCGGCGGUUGGGGAUGGACUCGCGGCUUAUCAGCUUGUUGGUGGGGUAGUGGCUUACCAAGGCUUUGACGGGUAGCCGGCCUGAGAGGGUGACCGGCCACAUUGGGACUGAGAUACGGCCCAGACUCCUACGGGAGGCAGCAGUGGGGAAUAUUGCACAAUGGGCGGAAGCCUGAUGCAGCAACGCCGCGUGCGGGAUGACGGCCUUCGGGUUGUAAACCGCCUUCGCCUGUGUCGAAGCGUGAGUGACGGUAAUGGGUAAAGAAGCACCGGCUAACUACGUG